ACGAACGUGUUUCUUUCUGCGCGCUCGCUUGUCCGUGGCGGGUGUCGGCGGAGUGAGCGCCAUGACACGCUGGGCCUGUGCGGCGGCGGCGCUCGCGCUGGCGCUGAAGCUGGAGCUAGCGCUCUCCGUGCAGGGGCGCGCGGACCGGUGACCGUUGACGGAGAUGAAUUGAAUAAGCAGAAUCGAAAAUGAGAAUCUGGAUGUGACGUGAGCUAUCCAAGCAGGGAGCGAGUGAUGAAAUAAACACAAAGACUGCGGAGUCAAAAUCUGGAAACAUGGCAUGAGGGUAAAAUUAUGCAGGGAGCGGCAUGAAUGUGAGCAGAUCUGUGGAUGCAUCAUCAAAUUAUAUUCAAAGGCGUUAAAUAAUUGAAAAUAUUUUUGUCUGUUCACUUGUUGAUGUCAUCCUUGACAAACUAACUUGUACAACUGAUAUCUUAGUUUUUUGUACAUGCCAGUU